AACUAACGCUGGCGGCGUGCCUAACACAUGCAAGUCGUACGAGAAAGUUGGCUUCGGCCGAUGAGUAAAGUGGCGCACGGGUGAGUAAUGCGUGGAUAAUCUGCCCUUUAGUUGGGAAUAACGUACCGAAAGGUGCGCUAAUACCUGAUAAUACUGCAUAACUACUGUUGUGUAGUCAAAGAAGGCCUCUGCUUGCAAGCUUUUGCUGAAGGAUGAGUCCGCGUACCAUUAGCUAGUUGGUGGGGUAAUGGCCUACCAAGGUUAUGAUGGUUAGCUGGUCUGAGAGGAUGAUCAGCCACACUGGAACUGAAACACGGUCCAGACUCCUACGGGAGGCAGCAGUGAGGAAUAUUGCGCAAUGGGGGCAACCCUGACGCAGCAACGCCGCGUGAGUGAGGAAGGUUUUCGGAUUGUAAAGCUCUGUCGAGCGGAAAGAAAUGCACGAUGGCUAAUAUCCAUCAUGCUUGACGGUACCG
rnacentral:rRNA from 1 species